rnacentral:sRNA from 1 species
GCUGGGCAUUGUGGCACAUGCCUGUAAUCCCAACAAUUUGGGAGGCUGAGGCAGGAGGAUUGCAGGUUUGAAGCCAGCCUCAGCAAAAUUUAGCGAGGCCUAAGCAACUUAGAGAGAUCCUGUCUCAA